AAAGCAUAAAAAAGGAAAAUGGUGUGGAACACAGCAGUAAAAAAUAGCCUUAGUAAACAUGGCUGUUUUAAAUCAUCCACAUGCUGACAAGCAGUCAGCUGACUUUUUUUUUUUAACCAAGAUCUUGCCUCUGAUUUUUUGCUGAUUCCUAUCCAUCAAGCCUCUGAAGUUACUGGACACAAAAUCAGGAUGGUGCAUGCUUUAAAAAAAUAUUUUAAAAGUGAAAUUUACCAAAGCCAAGGGGAGCAGUGGGCUGUAUCCUGCGAAGGUUGUGGAGGAGGCUUCUCACAGGGGAAGAAAACCACUUAGAUGACGCUGGAAGGCAAAUAUUACAGCUGAGAUGACAAGUCGCAAAGCAGUGGGGUGGCCAGGAGAUAAUGUCUUUGGAAAUAUUAAUAGAUUUCAAAUGUUCACUUUCA